rnacentral:rRNA from 1 species
CCUGGCGGCCAUAGCGAGCGUGAACCACCCGAUCCCAUUCCGAACUCGGAAGUGAAACCGCUCAGCGCCGAUGAUAGUGUGGGGGAUCCCAUGCGAAAGUAGGACACUGCCAGGC